UACGUAGGGGGCAAGCGUUGUCCGGAUUUAUUGGGCGUAAAGAGCUUGUAGGCGGUCUGGUAGGUCCGUUGUGAAAACUCGAGGCUCAACCUCGAGACGCCGAUGGAAACCAUCAGACUAGAGUCCGGAAGAGGAGAGUGGAAUUCCUGGUGUAGCGGUGAAAUGCGCAGAUAUCAGGAAGAACACCAGUGGCGAAGGCGGCGCUCUAGGACGGGACUGACGCUGAGACGCGAAAGCGUGGGGAGCGAACAGG
rnacentral:rRNA from 1 species